rnacentral:tmRNA from 1 species
GGGGGUGAAUUAGGUUCGACAUAGGUAGGAAUGGCAUCAGCAGCGAGCCGAGGUCCCCGAAACCUCGUUAAUCCUCGGGACAAACAAUAAUUGCCAACAAUAAAUACGCUUUAGCUGCUUAAUAGUCAGCUAACGCCUCACUGCCCUUCGCCUGCGAGAGCAGUGCAGGUGUCAUACGAGCAGGCUGCCUGAACAGCAGCACCCUGAGCUGUUCGGGGAGAUUGACAGGGUUAGCUGCCCGCCCAUCCGGCUGCGGGGAGGGGCGGACGGUGAAUGGCAAAACUGCGGCUGCGCUCGGAGAGGCUGGUGUGGUUUCACUUAUGGACAGCGGUGCAACUCCGCUCACCUCCACCA